GUAGCUCAGUGGUAGAGCACUUGCGUAGUAUGUAUGAGGCUCUGGGUUCAAUCCCCAGC
rnacentral:tRNA from 1 species